rnacentral:rRNA from 1 species
AUUGAACGCUGGCGGCAUGCUUUACACAUGCAAGUCGAACGGCAGCACGGGGGCAACCCUGGUGGCGAGUGGCGAACGGGUGAGUAAUAUAUCGGAACGUGCCCUAGAGUGGGGGACAACCAGUCGAAAGAUUGGCUAAUACCGCAUACGAUCUCUGGAUGAAAGUGGGGGACCGCAAGGCCUCACGCUCCUGGAGCGGCCGAUAUCUGAUUAGCUAGUUGGUGGGGUAAAGGCCUACCAAGGCGACGAUCAGUAGCUGGUCUGAGAGGACGAUCAGCCACACUGGGACUGGGACACGGCCCAGACUCCUACGGGAGGCAGCAGUGGGGAAUUUUGGACAAUGGGGGCAACCCUGAUCCAGCAAUGCCGCGUGAGUGAAGAAGGCCUUCGGGUUGUAAAGCUCUUUUGUCAGGGAAGAAACGGUGGAGGUUAAUACCCUCUGCUAAUGACGGUACCUGAAGAAUAAGCACCGGCUAACUACGUGCCAGCCGCCGCCGUAA